CAGGGAGUCGGAAAAACAAACUUGAAAAGUAUAGCGGUUCGUUAUCAUGAAAGAUGCAGGUGAAUCGCUAAGUGAAGCUGAGUUGCAGUAGACGCUCGGCGGAGGGUAAGUUGGCUGUAUAUUUUCUGAAACAAAUUCCCCAUUAUCA